ACUUGCAGUGGAAAAUCUAAAAACGAGACUGAUCUAGAGCAACCCAACUAUUCGAAACGAUGGGUCUUGUCAAUAAUUCACAGGAUGAAAUCCUCAAUUGCUAUUAAUCCUGAAGAGUCUCCAGAGCAUCCGAACAAGUUGAAAGGAAAGAUAUAUGUUCCCUUCUUGCUAGAAGAACCUUGAUGUUUUGGCUAUUUCAUCUUCCAUCAAAGACUACGUAUCUGGUGGAUUCACUGCGUACAACAUACAAAAAAAUUAAGUGUUUAGAGUGUCUAUCCAAGCUAGUCCCCGAUGUCGAUGCACAUGUGGAGUUAGCAACAUCACUGGUUAUGCAUUAUGGGAAUAAGGUCUCAUCACGUGUGUUACAAUCAACCCAUGAAUAUGCUAGAUGACAAUCCUAGUAAGGAGAAUGAGUUGUACUUUUUUUUGGGUUUCCAUAGCAGUGCUUGGAGGAGAG